rnacentral:lncRNA from 1 species
CCCAGGAAUCCUCAGAAUGUGAGGUUUCUCUCAAAGGCAUCUUGCAUCAGCCUGUGGAUGUAUGCCUGCCGCCGGCUCCCUCCACCGGCAAAGUGGAAAAAGAAGCGUUUAACAACAAAUUCUUCGUUUGGGGUUGGGGAACGCAGUGGAUUAUAGCUCUGUUUUCUUCUUUCCAAAACUGUGCACUCCUGGAUGAGAGAGAGGAGCACGGGGCUCGAGCCCUGAAAAGGGCCUGAGAGAGCUCAUCCGACCCUCUCCAUUCACAGAGGGUGAACGUGAUCCUCAGGAAGGAGGGCUGCCGCGUACAGGGUCGCACAGCAGGUUAGCAGUGGAGCCAGCGACGCAGUCGGGUUCUCUUUACCUAGUCCAGUGCCUUUCCUCUCCAUACCUCCACUUUCAGGGUCC